rnacentral:rRNA from 1 species
AGGAAGGUAGUGUAGUUAACACCUGCAUUAUUUGACGUUACCUACAGAAGAAGCACCGGCUAACUCCGUGCCAGCAGCCGCGGUAAUACGGGAGGGUGCGAGCGUUAAUACGGAAUUACGUGGGACGUAAAGCGCAUGCAGGCGGCCUGUUAAGUCAGAUGUAGAAACGGCCCGGGGACCGUUAACCGUACGGUAAGUUGCUAUUUAGUAAACGUGGCGAGGCUAGAGUCUUGUAGAGGGGGGUAGGAAUUUCAGGUGUAGCGGUGAAAUGCGUAGAGAUCUGAAGGAAUACCAGUGGCGAAGGCGGCCCCCUGGACAAAGACUGACGCUCAGAUGCGAAAGCGUGGGGAGCAAACAGGAUUAGAUACCCUGGUAG